rnacentral:rRNA from 1 species
UACUGGGCGUAAAGCGCGCGUAGGCGGAUAUUUAAGUCAGAUGUGAAAUCCCUGGGCUCAACCUAGGAACUGCAUUUGAUACUGGAUAUCUAGAGUAUGGUAGAGGUGAGUGGAAUUUCAGGUGUAGCGGUGAAAUGCGUAGAGAUCUGAAGGAACAUCAGUGGCGAAGGCGACUCACUGGGCCAUUACUGACGCUGAGGUGCGAAAGCCUGGGUAGCAAACAGGAUUAGAUACCCUGGUAGUCCACGCCCUAAACGAUGUCAACUAGGUGUAUGGGAGUUUAACUCCUGUGUAUCGAAGCUAACGCGAUAAGUUGACCGCCUGGGGAGUACGGUCGCAAGACUAAAACUCAAAUGAAUUGACGGGGGCCCGCACAAGCGGUGGAGCAUGUGGUUUAAUUCGAUGCAACGCGAAGAACCUUACCUGGUCUUGACAUGUAGUGAACUUUCCAGAGAUGGAUUGGUGCCUUCGGGAACACUAACACAGGUGCUGCAUGGCUGUCCUCAGCUCGUGUCGUGAGAUGUUGGGUUAAGUCCCGCAACGAGCGCAACCCCUGUCCUUAGUUGCCAU